rnacentral:lncRNA from 10 species
GAGUAGACGUCAACGAGUAACAGUGAAGACCUAGCCGUGCCUGGAGUAAAUUAAGCCAGCAGCAAAUAAUCCCAAAGGAGGUAAACAUCUAAAAGAAAGGAAUGAAAACAGGUUUUAUUUAUAAAUGCCUCACUGUUGGAACCUGCAUGAAUGAAAGCUGAAUCUCAAAGAUCAGACACGUUGGACUUGGAAUAAUGUCCAUGUUAUGAUUCCAAUCUGUGCCUAAAUCUGAACCACUCAGUUCUUCAUGCUUGUUGGAAUCCUCCUAAAAUUGGAAUUUCCUGGGAGAUAUCCAGUACUUUUUGGGCUGUAAACAGCAAAACAAACAGCCUUUCUUGUAAUAUGCUACGUCUAGUGCUAACUGAAUUCAAGAAGUUUAUGAGUGUGGGGAAAGUAACUUGAUGUCUUUGCAAACUUACAAAUUUGCUUCAGUUUAAAUUUUGACCAAAAAUUCAUCUCAGGAAUAUGUUUUGGAAUAAUUCUUUGCUAUUAGUUAUAAAUGUGACAAAUAUCGUUUAAACAAUAAAAUAUUAUUUUAUACAACAAAUUAUGGCAACAAAUUCCUUGUAGUGAUAGAUUUUUUAAAAUCUUUAAAUCAUAGAUAGGGAUUUAUUAUGCUCCAUGUCAAUUAUAUGCAUGUUUGUGUGUAUAUGUGUGUAUAUGUGUGUGUAUAUAUAUUUCACUUAAUCUCUGAGAACAGUCUGAAUUUUUAUGUUUCUCUAUUGUAUAUAAUUGAAAAACAUAAGACAAAGAAAUCACUUAUUAGUACGUUGAUAGAUAAACGUGCUUGAUGCCAAAUAUAGACACACAAAAUACACUUAAUUCUUCUGUAAGAACUCUUAAACAUCUAUGAGAAACAUCUUAUCAAAUUGAUUUCCCCCUUUCUCCUUAGUAAAAAAAUCCUGACGUUUUUAGGUUGACACAAUGCCACUCAGCUAAACAAUGACAUUUCCCAGACUCCUUUGUGUUUAAGUGUGG